AGUGAACGCUGGCGGCGUGCUUAACACAUGCAAGUCGAACGAGAACGGGAUUAAGUUUACUUAAUUUGUCAGCUAAGUGGCGCACGGGUGAGUAAUAUAUAGGUAACGUGCCCUAGAGAAGAGGAUAACAUUUGGAAACGAAUGCUAAUACUCUAUAUGCCUUUAAGUCAAAAGACUGCAAGGGAAUAUUUAUAGCUCUAGGAUCGGCCUGUACGGUAUCAGCUUGUUGGUGAGGUAAUGGCUCACCAAGGCUAUGACGCCUAACUGGUUUGAGAGGAUGAUCAGUCACACUGGAACUGAGACACGGGUCCAGACUCCUACGGGAGGCAGCAGUGGGGAAUAUUGCACAAUGGACGAAAGUCUGAUGCAGCAACGCCGCGUGGAGGAUGACACAUUUCGGUGCGUAAACUCCUUUUAUAUAGGAAGAUAAUGACGGUACUAUAUGAAUAAGCACCGGCUAACUCCGUGCCAGCAGCCGC
rnacentral:rRNA from 1 species